rfam:Hordeum vulgare subsp. vulgare, WGS project CAJW01000000 data, contig: morex_contig_45088
UGCAUACUCCCUCCGUCCGGAAUUACUUGUCGCACAAAUGUAUAAAAAUGGAUGUAUCUAGAACUAACAUACAUCUAGGUACAUCCAUUUAUGUGACAAGUUUUUCCAGACGAAGAAAGUAUUUA